AGUAAGUCAUGGAAAAAGCCAGAGCGUAUCCUGACCUGUCAACUCAUCUCCUCUUGCCAGCCUAAUGACACAGUUCAGUGAAAGGAAGUUUCUGCUUGGGAUCCACACUACUGUGUGAGCUCCCCACUUCUACUUGCCAAAUACAACCUGGCAGAUGUUCAUUGCCUCAGGAACUGACUGAUGUACCAGAGGAAGAGUUCCUGUGACAGAAUGUCAGCAACAAAAAGAAUAAAGAAAAGGAAAUGACUUGGAAGACUCUAAUAAAUCUAAAGUGUAAUCAUUUCCAUUCAAGUGUACAUGAAAAUUUGGAAGAGAAUGAACAAAUAGACGUAUUGUAGGGCAAGAAGGAAAAAGGAAAUUGGCUUUGAUAUCCCCAUGACUUUUCAGAAAAGAAAGAUGGAUCUGGACUUGCAAAAUGGAACUGGUAAUAGCUCUGUGUGUUGGGUUGACCUAAGCUUGCAGCCGCGUGCCCACAAAAACACGUGCCCAAAUUCUGACAUGACAGAG